CUCAAUCCUCCCGCCGCCGCUGCCGCCAUGGAUCACCGCCACUACAUCGAUUUCUCUUUGCCUCUCCAUCAUCGCUCAAUCUAGCCCAUCAUGUUUUAUUUUGAGGUUCCAGGGAUGAAGGAGAUCAAAAUUUCAAAGGCCAAUUUGAUGUAAGCCGUGGCUUUUGUGAUGGGUGGAAUUCAAGAAGCCUGCAAUGAUAUUUAAAUCUUUCAACGUUGAUUGUAUUAGUUGCGGUGGAGGUUGGCUAUUAUGGUCAAAUCGAAACCAAAGGCAAGUUAGCUGGACCUACCAAUUUGAGCAUUGGCCACAUCCUUAAUGAUGUUAGACUACUUG